rnacentral:rRNA from 1 species
GUGAGGAAUAUUGGUCAAUGGACGAGAGUCUGAACCAGCCAAGUCGCGUGAAGGAAGACGGUUCUAUGAAUUGUAAACUUCUUUUGUGCAGGAAUAAAGUGGGUUACGUGUAACCUUUUGUAUGUACUGUACGAAUAAGGAUCGGCUAACUCCGUGCCAGCAGCCGCGGUAAUACGGAGGAUCCGAGCGUUAUCCGGAUUUAUUGGGUUUAAAGGGUGCGUAGGUGGAUUGAUAAGUUAGCGGUGAAAGUUUGCAGCUUAACUGUAAAAUUGCCGUUGAAACUGUCGGUCGUGAGUGCAAAUGAGGUAGGCGGAAUGUGUUGUGUAGCGGUGAAAUGCUUAGAUAUAACACAGAACUCCGAUUGCGAAGGCAGCUUACUGGGAUGCAACUGACACUGAUGCACGAAAGCGUGGGUAUCAAACAGGAUUAGAAACCCGUGUAGUCC